rnacentral:rRNA from 1 species
AUUGAACGCUGGCGGCAGGCCUAACACAUGCAAGUCGAGCGGAUGAAGGGAGCUUGCUCCUGGCUUCAGCGGCGGACGGGUGAGUAAUGCCUAGGAAUCUGCCUGGUAGUGGGGGAUAACGUCCGGAAACGGGCGCUAAUACCGCAUACGUCCAGAGGGAGAAAGGGGGGGAUCUUCGGACCUCACGCUAUCAGAUGAGCCUAGGUCGGAUUAGCUAGUUGGUGGGGUAAAGGCCUACCAAGGCGACGAUCCGUAACUGGCCUGAGAGGGUGAUCGGCCACACUGGAACUGAGACACGGUCCAGACUCCUACGGGAGGCAGCAGUGGGGAAUCUUGGGCAAUGGGCGAAAGCCUGAUCCAGCCAUGCCGCGUGUGUGAAGAAGGUCUUCGGAUUGUAAAACACUGUUAGUUGGGAGGAAGGGAAGUAAAUUUAAACCUUGCUGUUUUGACGGUACCUACAGAAAAAGCACCGGCUAACUUCGUG